GCCUAGGAUAGGCUCUGGUAAUCGAUUACCAUCCAGUGUAAUCGAUUACACAUGAACAGGCAGCCUGUAAUCGAUUACAACAUCCUGUAAUCGAUUACCAGAAGGCUUAUUAGGC
rnacentral:pre_miRNA from 1 species